GCCACACCCACCUGCCUACAAUUACCAUUCAGUAGUCUAUUCAGCUAUCAGUGAAUUAAUUCAGCCAGUGGAUUAAUUCACUGAUAAAGUCAGAGCCUUAAUCAUUGUCUAAAACCCAAAUUCUGAGCCUUGCUACAUUGGGAAUGAUACUUUCAACACAAGAGUUUUCUGGGGAACAUUCUAGAUCCAAAGGAAAACAACCAUCUUAUUUUAUUAUCCCAUCUGUCCUCAUAUAGCCCUCAUUUGAUGGUUGUUAGAGUAAGCUGACUUCAAUGAAAAAUAAUACAAUGACAGAAGUAAAAACAAAAAGAUCCUCCUAUAUAUAGUGAUAUCAGACUAAACUAAUAUAUUCUCAUUUGAAAGAAGGUAACUGUACCCAAUUCCUCUUUUACUGAUGAAUAAAGAUCAAAUUUUAAGCACCCCAAAUUUAAUUUAAAUGUCAAUUUAACCUUGAC
rnacentral:lncRNA from 1 species